GACGAACGCUGGCGGCGUGCUUAACACAUGCGAGUCGAACGGAAAGGCCUCUUUCGGGGGGUACUCGAGUGGCGAACGGGUGAGUAACACGUGAGUAACCUGCCCUUGACUUUGGGAUAACUUCAGGAAACUGGGGCUAAUACCGGAUAGGAGCUCCUGCUGCAUGGUGGGGGUUGGAAAGUUUCGGCGGUUGGGGAUGGACUCGCGGCUUAUCAGCUUGUUGGUGGGGUAGUGGCUUACCAAGGCUUUGACGGGUAGCCGGCCUGAGAGGGUGACCGGCCACAUUGGGACUGAGAUACGGCCCAGACUCCUACGGGAGGCAGCAGUGGGGAAUAUUGCACAAUGGGUGGAAGCCAGAUGCAGCAACGCCGUGUGCGGGAUGACGGCCUUCGGGUUGUAAACCGCUUUCGCUCAUGACGAAGCUUUGUGUGACGGUAGUGGGUAAAGAAGCACCGGCUAACUACGUG
rnacentral:rRNA from 1 species